rnacentral:rRNA from 1 species
GACAGAGGGUGCAAACGUUGUUCGGAAUUACUGGGCGUAAAGCGUGUGUAGGCGGUUUGCUAAGUCGGGUGUGAAAGCCCAGGGCUCAACCCUGGAAGUGCACUCGAAACUGGCAGGCUAGAGUACUGGAGAGGUUGGUGGAAUUCUCGGUGUAGAGGUGAAAUUCGUAGAUAUCGAGAGGAACACCGGUGGCGAAGGCGGCCAACUGGACAGAUACUGACGCUGAGACACGAAAGCGUGGGGAGCAAACAGG